GCCGCCAUGACGGAAUUGGUAGACGUAUCAGACUUAAAAUCUGAGGCUGGUUUCAGCGUGCGGGUUCGAUUCCCGCUGGCGGCACCA
rnacentral:tRNA from 2 species